UACGGGGGGAGCAAGCGUUGUUCGGAUUUACUGGGCGUAAAGGGCGCGUAGGCGGCCACCGCAAGUCGACUGUGAAAUCUCCGGGCUUAAUCCGGAAAGGUCAGCCGAUACUGCGGGGCUAGAGUGCAGAAGGGGCAACUGGAAUUCUCGGUGUAGCGGUGAAAUGCGUAGAUAUCGAGAGGAACACCUGCGGCGAAGGCGGGUUGCUGGGCCGACACUGACGCUGAUGUGCGAAAGCUAGGGGAGCGAACGGG
rnacentral:rRNA from 1 species